AGCAGCCGCGGUAAUUCCAGCUCCAAUAGCGUAUAUUAAAGUUGUUGCAGUUAAAAAGCUCGUAGUUGAAUUUCGGGGUUAGUAGGUUGGUCGUGCCACUGGUACGUACUGGUCUCACUGACUCCUCCUUCCUGAUGAACUGUAAUGCCAUUAAUUUGGUGUUGCGGGGAAACUGGACUGUUACUUUGAAAAAAUUAGAGUGUUUAAAGCAAGCUAACGCUUGAAUACAUUAGCAUGGAAUAAUGAAAUAGGACGUUCGAUCCUAUUUUGUGGUUUCUAGGAUUGACGUAAUGAUUAAUAGGGAUAGUUGGGGCAUUAGUAUUCAAUUGUCAGAGGUGAAAAUUCUUGGAUUUAUUGAAGACUAACUACUGCGAAAGCAUUUGCCAAGGAUGUUUUCAUUAAUCAAGAACGAAAGUUAGGGGAUCGAAGACGAUCAGAUACCGUCGUAGUCUUAACCAUAAACUAUGCCGACUAGGGAUCGGAUGAUGUUAAUUUUUUAAU
rnacentral:rRNA from 1 species